AUUGAACGCUGGCGGCAGGCCUAACACAUGCAAGUCGAGCGAGCGGCGGACGGGUGAGUAAUGUCUGGGAAACUGCCUGAUGGAGGGGGAUAACUACUGGAAGCGGUAGCUAAUACCGCAUACCAUCGGAUGUGCCCAGAUGGGAUUAGCUAGUAGGGGGGGUAAAGGCUCACCUAGGCGACGAUCCAUAGCUGGUAUGAGAGGAUGACCAGCCACACUGGAACUUAGCCACGGUCCAGACUCCUACGGGAGGCAGCAGUGGGGAAUAUUGCACAAUGGGCGAAAGCCUGAUGCAGCCAUGCGGCGUGUAUGAAGAAGGCUUUCGGGUGGUAAAGUAUUUUCAGCGGGGAGGCGUUACCCGCAGAAGAAGCACCGGCUAACUCCGUGCCAGCAGCCGCGGUAAUAC
rnacentral:rRNA from 1 species